AAAAAGACAAACUCUGGUUUCCAUGUUCAACGUUUGACCGUCCGUCUUAUUUUAAAAAAUUAUAAAAAAAAUUAAAAAGAUAAGUCACGCAUAAAGUAUUAAUCAUGUUUUAUCAUCUAACAACAAUAAAAAUACUAAUCAUAAAAAAAAUUCACAUAAGACGGACAGUCAACUGUUGACACGGAAACUCAGGGUUUGUCUUUUU
rfam:Oryza glumipatula chromosome 3, whole genome shotgun sequence.